GGAGAGCUUGGUAAACACAGGCUGCGGGGUUUACUUUGGUUUAGGAAUCCCACUGCCUCACUGGAGUGUUAAUCAAAAUUCCACAGCCAUUUGUGGAUACUUGGAGGUGGGGCGGACUGAUGCACAGCAAUAUUUUGACCCAGCACUUGAAGCAAAUACAACCAGAGUCAUCAGUGUUAAUUCCACUGUAUUCCAACCAGCAUUUUGAAAGUGUGUUGAUAUUGGUGACCUUGCUCUUUUUCAUCGGACUCCUAACUGGUAAUUGUGCCUAUGUAAUUGCUGUGAAGUUAUCUAGCCUAACAAUGUAGGACUCAAUACUGGUGCCUGAAAUACUUAAAUCUCUGACUUUGAUCUAAUUUUUGCUUUGUUCUUGUCUAGUUUAAGCUAUACUCGCAUUUUUCUCUUCUCUUGAGAGGUAAAGUGUGCCUGUCCUAAGCUUUUAGUUAAGAACUUGUGUCUAAAAGAAAGUGGAAGGAGUCAGUCAGGUGUUGUAACUUUACUAUGAUCUUGUCAGGAAUAAUAACAGUACUAAGUGAUAAGAGGACAUUCAAAAAAUACUUGAAAUUGUUCAAGCCCUCCAACAUACUUCUUUUUGUAUACAUGCAACAACGGAGGAAUAACUUAAUAGAGCAAUGUCUUGAAAGGAAAAACUCAUGUGCAGCUAUUUUCUUUUAUUCUUAAAAAUGUAUCUGCCCAGGAAGACUGUUAAAUUAUACACGGUUGCUUUUACCUGAAGAAGCAAUUAUAAUGAAUAUCAUUAUAGACAUUUUUAGACUCUCGCAGAUUAAGAUUGUAAACAGAGUGGUGGUCUUCCCAGUCUUGGUGAAAGAAGAAUCUACCCUCCUCCACUUCUUAUAAUCAACAGUAACCAGGAGAGAUCACAAGCAGUUUCUACCAGGGCAUGCCUGGAAUGGAUCUAAUCAACAAGGGGGUUACCAUGACUUAAUAGAGAGGUGACUUGGAGAUUUUAUUUUAGGUUAGGGAACCCAGGCAUCAUAUUUUAAACUUGACUUGAGCUACUGAAUCUUUGGUACAACAGCUAACAGGAUAUAGGAAGUAACGUUAAAAAAAAAAAAAUAGCUUUUAAAUUAAAGCCAGUUUUCUAUUCGCAGAUCAUCCCUAUGAGGUUUUACAUGGCAGGAGCUAGCUACAUAGAAUGAUAAUGGGAGACAGAAAAAAACAGGUAUAAGAAUUAGGUAACAUUUUACAGAUUCCAGACAUAAAACCAUUUCUAUUAAUGAUACUUAUUUCAACCUGUAUUGUGAUAUAAUUUUAUGUAGAAACAAACACUGUUUGUACACUUUAACUCCAUUUCAUUGUGAUUAUCUUAAAUAGCUGGAAACUUAAAUAGAUAGAAACUGAAUUAAAAGAGCACACUGGAGGCAAUAGUUUGCCACAGUGGCUGUCAUGUGAAUAUAGACGACUAGAGAAAGUGUUUAACGUAGACAAGGGCAGGUAACGUUAAUAAAAAGGAAAAAUUCAUAACCUAGCUUUUACCUCAGACUCACACAAUUCAGUUUAAUGUUUUGGUAGUUAAUAUUGUUAUUUUUGCAUUCCAGACAACCUAUAAUUAAAUAUUUUGAUUCAACAUCACAAUUACUGAUUUAUAAUUAUGUACAUUACCUAAAUGUACAUAAUUAGAAAACAAAAAAUUGAAAUGACAUGCUGAAUAGGAAUGCUACCAUCAGAUGUAUUUUUAUAUGAAAAGGCAAGGAUUUUAAGAAUGUCAGCAUUUGGAGGGUCGGAUUAAGUGUUGAAUCUUGUUUAUUCAUUCAACAAAUAUUUGUCUGCACAUCCAAUACUAGGCACUGACCAUUUUCUGUACCUAAGUUAAUCCACUUAGCACUCUGAGUGAUCAGUUGUGUACUACAAAUAAAAUUAUUUAAUAAGUUAAAUCCAUCAAUAUAGAGGAUGGUUUAUAUGGGUCAGUUCUUGACUGGGUAAUUACAGAAUUCUCCACUGAGUUUGGUACCACAAGUUCUCGUAUUUUUCCUUUAGGAAUGAUGAAAGAUCAGUGGACUCCUAAGUAUCUGAAGUCUGUGGAGUCUUAGGUUGCUUAGAAACUCAGUGACUAUGGGCUUGCUAUGGCAACCCUAUUUAUCACUGAAUGCAAAAUUAACUUAGCUGGCAUUUUGCCAAAUCUCCAUAUUUUGCUGGUAAAAAUAUUCAGAUCAGUUCUUCUAUCACAUCAGUACUUAUUAUUUACACAAUAAAACUAAAUAAUGCUAUAAUUAACCACAUUUUGAAAAGAAUAAUUUACAGUAUAUAAUAGAUAUAUAAUUAAGCUUAAAUUCAUUAUGUAAUUUUACUUAUAUCAAAUUUAUUGUGUCAGCUGGUUAUUAUCCCAUUGCCUAAAUUUGCUUAUGUACAUACAAAAUUUGCAUUAAAUUAGAAUCACGAGAAAGUUAGACCAGUACAGUAUGUAAUCUAUGUGAUAAUAAAAAGGCUCUGUAAAUUUGACUUCUAUUAAUCUAUACAAAUCCAUCUAUAAAUUUAUCAUUACAUGUAUAUGUAGUAUAUUUUAAUGAUUUUUUUAUUUUGCAUUAUUGACUCUUCAUUCACAUAUAACAAAUUUCUUUGAAAAAUUUUUACCAUAUUUUUUCUCUUUAAACUCUUAAACACCAUAUAAUUUGUACACACAAAUGUGUUAAAAACUAAUUUAUUUGAAACACAUAUUUUUGUAGUAAUGGAAAAGACAUUAGGGGAUGUAUUCUCACCUUCAGUCUAGGUGUUUGUUCCUUGAAGUACAUUUUCAACUGUUCUGCCUUUUUUGAUUUAAGGCAUUUUUUUUUUUUAGAUUUUAAUAAUACUUUAUAUUAGUUUUUUGCAUAUUCAUGCUAUAUAUUAUCUGUAGCUUUUGAAUUGUCUCCUCUCUGAUCAACACUGAGGGGCAUCUCUGAAAGCAAAGUCAGCUGCUUGUGGCUUCUCACAUCACAGGAUGCACUAAGGGUUUGAAGGUAAGUUCUGGAAGAAAUAUUCCUGUCUUCCUUUCCUCUGGGAAGUUCUUAAGUAUAUGGAAAUAUCCCUUAAGAAUUAUGAUUUAGUCAAUCAAAAUGACUGAAUUUAGUUUUAUUUACCCAUCUUUAAAAAUUGAAGCUAAGCCCCUAAAGCAUGUCUCAAAAUUCACAUAUUAGAAUUUUUCAAAAAUCAGAUAUGGUCUAUUUUUAAUUUUAAUUUUAUUCAUCUAAGAUUGGAUGAAGGUUGUCAGAAAGGGUGACAGUCAGUGGUAGAAUAUUUUAUCAUAGAAAGAUUUUCCAUGUAGUCAAUUUGCAUUGAAGGACUAAAAAAGAAAAUUGCCCCAGUACUUUUUUCCCUAACCUAAAUAACAUGGCAGAUAAGCCAGAGAAAGUUUAGUAAAUAGCAAAAAUUUAAUUUCAUCUUCAUUUUUUAAAAAUUUCAUAAGAAUUUACAUAUUUUCUACAUAGGAUGGUAAAUAUGAGCUUAAAAGAGUAAGUGAUAGAAUAAGCUUCAGUUAUGAUGAAAAUAUUUUUGGUACAAUUUGGAAACGUGUGAUUGUGUAUUGAACUGCCAUUGGAAGCUAGGUGUCUUUCAAAAUAGAAACACCUGUUAUGUGGAUAAUGUGAGCAUAUCAAAAAAAGGAGUAGGGGAGUUCCCGUCGUGGCGCAGUGGUUAACGAAUCCGACUAGGAACCAUGAGGUUGAGGGUUCGGUCCCUGCCCUUGCUCAGUGGGUUAACGAUCCGGCGUUGCCGUGAGCUGUGGUAUAGGUUGCAGACGCGGCUGGGAUCUCGCGUUGCUGUGGCUCUGGCACAGGCCAGUGGCUACAGCUCUGAUUUGACCCCUAGCCUGGGAACCUCCAUAUGCCGCAGGAGCGGCCCAAAGAAAUAGCAAAAAAAAAAAAAAAAAAAAAAAAAAA
ensembl:lncRNA